rnacentral:rRNA from 1 species
UACGAAGGGGGCUAGCGUUGCUCGGAAUUACGGGGCGUAAAGGGAGCGUAGGCGGACAUUUAAGUCAGGGGUGAAAUCCCGGGGCUCAACCUCGGAAUUGCCUUUGAUACUGGGUGUCUUGAGUAUGAGAGAGGUGUGUGGAACUCCGAGUGUAGAGGUGAAAUUCGUAGAUAUUCGGAAGAACACCAGUGGCGAAGGCGACACACUGGCUCAUUACUGACGCUGAGGCUCGAAAGCGUGGGGAGCAAACAGG